GAUGAACGCUGGCGGCGUGCCUAAUACAUGCAAGUCGAACGAAGGUCUAGCUUGCUAGACCUUAGUGGCGAACGGGUGAGUAAUACAUAAAUAAUCUGCCCAUAUGACUGGGAUAACUAUUGGAGACGAUAGCUAAUACCGGAUAGGUUAAUUGGAGGCAUCUCUGAUUAAUUAAAGUAGGAUUUCUACACAGAUGGAUGAGUUUAUGGCGCAUUAGUUAGUUGGUGGGGUAACGGCCUACCAAGACGAUGAUGCGUAGCCGACCUGAGAGGGUGACCGGCCACACUGGGACUGAGACACGGCCCAGACUCCUACGGGAGGCAGCAGUAGGGAAUUUUCGGCAAUGGGCGCAAGCCUGACCGAGCAACGCCGCGUGAGUGAUUAAGGCCUUCGGGUUGUAAAGCUCUGUUGUAAGGGAAGAACAUUCAGGAUAGGAAAUGAUCUUGAACUGACGGUACCUUACCAGAAAGCCACGGCUAACUACGUGCCAGCCGCCGCGGUAAAAC
rnacentral:rRNA from 1 species